rnacentral:lncRNA from 1 species
AGGAUUACCUUCUUCCAAAUAUACUUUGGAAAAGAAAUCCUUUUUAGAAUAACGACAAUUACCUGCAUACUUAGAUGCUUUUUCAAAGUUGAAAGCAUCAUAUGUAGCUUGAGCAAAUUGUCCAUAAUGUAGUAAAUACUUACGUAGGUCAAUAUGUAAAGGUUCCAAUAGACCUUUCCACUUACUUUUCCCACUAAGUUCUCUCCAUGUUUUUGCUAUGCUACCCAUAUCUUUUUUUGAAGGAAUGCUACCCAUAUCUACUUUCUUCCUCACUCAAAUAGACACAAUAUGUAAUAUAACUCAAUAGUUAUAUCAAGCUUGCAGAUGUCAUGCAUAGGCUUUUGCUUACUUAUAUACACCCAUCUACACAGAAAAUGUACUUUAACUUUUGUUAAUUCAAGUUUUUUUAUUAAUUAGUAAAUAAACAGCGCAUAUUCUAACCCCUCAAAUUAAGUAUAGAACCACUUUGUUUAAUGGCUCACGAGUUUGUUGAGGUAAUUCUUAAUUGUCUCUUUAAUGGAAAAAUGUACUAUACUUCACUAAAAUAUUAUCUCAUUCAAACUAGGUAAUUGGAUUUAUUUUGGUAUAUGAUACUCUCAAUCUCGAGAUUUAAUUUUUUAAAAUAAAAUCUCCACGUGUUUUUCUUGUUUAUAAAUAAAAUCGUAAUUAUUUUCUUUUGAGGGGAUAGAUAAAUAUUUGUUGAAUGUUUUUACCUGGGUCAAGUUGAUAUAUUCAAUUACACAAAUAGCUGGAAUGGGUUACUUUUUUGGCUUUUUUGAAUGCCAUAGUUGAAAUGGACUUGGUCUUAUCGUUACUCAUGUUUCCCAUGACAAUUUUUUCUUAAAAAAAUGACCUUAUGCUGCACGCUCUUAUAUUAAUAUUCGUUCAUAUAUAUUACUUUCUCAUUCUCACAAAAAUUAUCAUAGUAGAUUAUUUCACACAAAGCAAAAAGAAGUUAUAAUUUACAAAUAAAAGAAAUAUAGAAUAACAAUUUUUAGAACCAACUCCAUCAACGUUUAAUAUUAGUCGAUUAUCAUUAUCAUAAAAGAUGUAAAUUUUGAAUGAUAGGCUUCCUAUCAAAAACAAUUUGGUGCGUCACAAUGUCAUCAACUUGGAUUCGUUACUGUGUUUAGGAGACUGCAAAAAGGAAGGAACUAUUAAUCAUUUAUUUAUGAAGUGCGUUUUCUUUGGUAGCAUUUAGGUUGAUGUUAUGUGUUGGUUAGUAGUUCAAAGUGUGUAGCCUCAUGAUCCGGGUCUGCAUGCAUUUCAAUUUGCUGGCUCCCACUUGUUUCGUAAGGAUAUUCGUCAUUGUUUUCACAUCAUAUGGAUGACAUUUUUAAGUCAUUUAGAAUGAGUGUACUCUCAGAUUUUCUCCGCCAAAAUCUCGUUUAAGAAACCACAUUUAAAUCGUGUUAAACUUUAUUCAUGGUAGUGGCUUAAAGUUCUGAAACCACACUUAAUUUUCGGCUUUAACAUGUGGUAGUCUUACCCUUCUAUAUGUAUUGGGUAUUUUAUCAUGUGAAGUUUCUUCACUUGUAAUCUUUUGUCUCCUAUAUAUUAGGCACACAUGUGCUUCAUAGGAGUGUUUUAAUUCAAGAUUACGCCCCAAAAAUAUUGAUAAGAAAAAAAGAAGAUAAAAUCUAAAAUUAAAGAUACCAAAUCUAUUACGGAAAAAAUCUUAAAUGAUAUAAUUUGGCAAUGAAUUCCACCCAUAUUAAUUAGAUAUUACCUCAUUACACUAAAAACACAUGUUAGCUAAUUUUUUUUUUUUUUUGAAACAAUGUUAGCUAACUUAUAAGCACAGUUGUUCUCUUCCUAAAAUAAAAACUUCUAGUAACGUGAACAAUUAGCUCACCAAUUUUACCACCACCAAGGAAUUAGUAAAUGAUUAGAAAAAACUUGAACUGUUACAUUUGAACGAUAAUAUAUGUAUAAGUGCUUAGGUUACAAGAGAAACCACCCAUGAGGCACCUCUGCAAUCUCUAAAAAUCCUCUCACAUGAAGACAAUUUCCAUCAGAAUUGUAUUUAAGCCACGGAUUAGGGGGAGAAAUCAUAUUAACCUAAAUGAUAUCUUGAGUGAAUGGAGAAUGACAAGCCACCUUGAAACAUUUUAAAAUUUUAAAUCAUGUACAGAAGAUUUCAUAGUACAUUUGGAGUUUAAAGCUGACAUACUAAUGGAACUAUUAAGUAAGUUUUGCAAUUAAACACGAUUAAACACUGAUUUAUCAAAUCUAAAAUUAUUCCUACAUCCUCAAAUAAGUGAGACUAUAAGUAGACUAUAAGCACAAAGUUAAGUUACAACCCUUAGACAAGAAAAAGAUUAAGCCUACAGUAAUUGUAGUCAAAAUCAAACAUGAGAGAUGUCAAAUUAAACCACCUGUAUACAUGAAGUUUAACCUUUUCGCUUAAAGAAUUAAUAUCUUCCUCCUUAUGUUGAAAUGAGCGUCUAUUCAUCUUUUUUCAAAUUACUCACGACUGACAAACAAAAAAAUAUUAAAAGUCUUUUGAAAUUGAUUUGAGAGGCCUUGUACCCGAUUCAUUUUUUCUUUAGCUAAUAUUGAUUCUGACAUAAAAGGAAACUAUGACAAUUGGGACAAUAGGCAAUUGCUGAAAGUAAUAAUAGGGCAACAAUGAAAGAUCUACUAACUAUUUCACAUCAAGUUUGAUAUGAUGUCAUGCUUGAUAAAUGGAAGAUGAAAUGAAGAUGCGUGUUUGAUAAAUUGUCAUAAAAAAUAAUAAAUAAAGGAGAUCGUGAUAGUCUGGUAGAUUCCUCAAUUCAUCAAACACGCAUAUCCUAUCAAUCUUCAAUUCAUUUCUAGGGUUUUACCGUAGAAUCAUGGAUACCCCUUUCCCGUUCUGAUUUUGUUCCCCUUUUUAGGCUUCCUUUUAUUUUAACCGUGUGAAAGCUACCUGCAUCAAUUAAAAUUAAACAAAAAAAAAUAUAAAACAUUUGGUAUUAGGACAUUAUAUCUCUUAUUAAGCCUACCGAUAUAUAUGAAGCUUAACCUUUUCGCUUAAAGAAUUAAUAUCUUUCUCCUUAUGUUGAAAUGAGCGUCUAUUCAUCUUUUUUCAAAUUACUCACACGACUGACGAACAAAAAAAUAUUAAAAGCCUUUUGAAAUUGAUUUGAGAAGCCUUUUACUCGAUUCAUUUUUUCUUUAGCUAAUAUUGAUUCUUUACUAUCAAAAAUGAAAAUAGACAUAAAAGGAAACUAUGACAAUUGGGACAAUAGGCAAUUGCUGAAAGUAAUAGGGCAACAAAGAAAGAUCUACUUUUUUAGCUACAAAUUUAUUAAAAAAAGUAAAAAUAAAUAUAUUGGAGGACAAUAUACCUAACCCUGAAAAUGAAAAAUAAAAGAAAAAAAUUGGGUUUUUUCUAAAUUACCUUUGAAGAAUGGUGGGUAAUUUACCCACCAACCAAUGAAAAUGAGCAAUUUAUUUAUGGUGUCAAGAUAGUUCAUGAAUAUGUGCUUAUGCGGCUAAUGUGUAUUGGUUGGAGUAAAUUACCCAUCAUUCUUUCAUGGGUAGCCUAGUUGUCACCAAAAAAUUGUGGAUCGAAGGUUAUAAUGUUGAGGCAAGAAGGUUCGGGGAAGUAACUACACAUGUAUGAUGGACCGAUUCUAGAACAAAUAGACAACACCCACCCCACCCCACACACUCAUAUUUCUCUCGUACAAAUUUAACAACAUAAUUCAAUAACGUAAUAUAUCAACAAUAAUAAUUGCGAUAAUAUAAUUAAACAUAAACAAUGAGUCAAACAAUUUUUUUCAUCUAGUUUGUUCAUGCAUGUCCUGGUUUCUUCUUAUAUUUUGGGUGAAUCAAACUUGUCCGAAUAUCAUUAACAAAUAUGAUCAAGGUAAUGUUUAACUCGACCGGUAGGGUUGGGAAUAGGCCAGAUUGGCCUACAGGGGCCUACGGUCUGGCUUGACAUGUUUAGUAGAUAUGCUUAGGCUUUUUAGAAAGCUUGUUUCAUCAAAUAGGUCAGGCUUAGGCUUCCAGAAAAGCAUGUUAAGCCUAAUAGGCCAGCCUAUUAAUACUUAUUUUUUUUUAUUUUUUUAUAUUAAAAUAAGAGGAGGGAUAUAUUGACUCCAAGAGUAACUCAAUGGAGUUACUCCAAAUCACUACCAUCCAUUUCAUUUUAAUCUAACAGCCUUGGUUAAUUAUAUUCUUGUGCACCGAACAAGAUUCCACACCAGAUCGAACCAUUAGAUUUUGUUGUACAAAACUAUCAAAGACAUUUCUUUCUGAUUCAUACCUUCUGGCAAAAUUCAACAAAGAGAUCGAAACAAUUAAAUAGAUUAACAAUUCUUGUAAAAAAAAAUAGAUUAACAAUUAAAAUCCCAAUUCAAAUUGAUGCAAUUGAAAUAUAUUCUCAAUCAGAAACUUUGAUGCAAUUUAAUUUUUGACGAUGGAUAUAUAUUCCCAAGAGAUCUCAUAUUUCCAAUUACGAAGGAUAUAUUACCAACCAGAAUUUUGAUGAUGGAGAUAUAUUCUCAAUAAGCAACAUUAAUUUGAAUCUUGUUGUUAAUAGGUAUGAAUCGGAAAGAAAAGUCUUGAUCUUUUUGUUGUUAACAAAAUCCAAUGUUGAUAUGGUGUGGAAUCUUAUUCGGUGCACAAGAAUAUAAUUAAUUUGGGCUGUUAGAUUCAAAUAAAAUGGAUGGUAGUGAUCUCGAGUAACUCUAUCGAGUUACUCUUGGAGUAAAUAUAUCCUUCCCCUUAAAAUAAUUGCGUACAUUUAAAAUAUAAACAUCUUUUUCUCUAUCUAUUAGUCCCUUAAUAGACUUUGUUGUUAUAGGCAUUUAAGUAUGCUUUAAUCUAGUUAAAAUUUAGUUGUAGUGAAAUAGACUUUUAAGUAGGCUUUAAGGCAUGUUUAGCCUAUUUAGUGGGUCAAAUGAACUAUUUGAUGGUCUUGAUGUAAAGUAGGCAUGUAAGUAGGCUUUCAGGCCAGUCCAACCUUUUAAAUAGGCUAGGUUAGACAAAAAAAAAAGACCUAUAAUAGGCCAUAGGCCAGGCUUGUUAAUUUUUUCGUAGGCCAGGCUCAAGCCUAUCAAAGCCUGGCCUGGCCUAUUCCAACCCCUAUCGACCGGUUCAUUCGAACUAUACUCAACAAAUAUAGAUAACAUAGUUUUCACAUCGUUGUUGUUUUGAAGUUUCAUAUGAGUAAACUGGAGGAUUCUAUCUAAGUCAAUCGAUAGACAGUGAUACCCAACACUAACCAUCCUUCUUGUGUCUUUGUGCUCGAGGCAACCAUUAAUUUAGUCUUGUUGAUCCUUGAAGUAAGAUAACGUAACAUAAAAAAGGAUUCUAAACGUAUUUGGUUUCCCCAUGUUGUCGUAAAUUGUUACUAGGUUAAUGCUUAUUUUGAUCGGACAAGUGUUUGUAACACCUGAAGCUGACGAGGACGGGGAAUGAUCACUAGUGCACAAGACAUGGAAAUGAACGACUCCUAGCUAGCAACUUUUUGGCAAAAUAGAAAUGAAUUCACAACAAAAUGAAAGGGGUCAUGAGGUCAUAUAUGUAUAGGACAACUUGAUUGAAAGAAUGCUUAUAAGAAUUGUUUGACACUACCUAUACCAGCAAGAUGCAUUUUAUUUUUGGUAGACCAUUCCAUAAGAACUUCAUAGUUAAACAUGUUUGACUUAGAGAAAUUUUGGGACGAGUGAUGUUCUGGGAAACUUCAUAAAGUGUGGGAGUGAGAACAAAUACUAAAAAUACUCGUGUUAGUUUGUGGGAUCAAUCAACAAUAUUGAAAGUCGUAUGGGAGGUUAUAAUGCUCAUGGUUCUGUGUUGUGGAGUGAAAAUGAACCCAACACAUUUAUUUACAGAAGUUUUUUGUGUAUUGUAGACCAUAUAAAAUUUCGGUGCAUCACAUGUCUUAGAAAAUCAUGUCAUUUACUUGUUCAAAUUAUAGAAUUUGAAAUGUGCCAAAUCCAUAAGUCACCAGUUUUUAAACAAAUUUUCCUUUAGUAUAUUUACAUGUUUCAGAUUCAAUAAAUUGAAAGUAUAAAAUACAAUUUAGUUUGGAGAAUAUGAACCAAAGAUACACAUGGUUUUGCAGUUUUCUGGACUUGUGUACACCUGUUCCGAACAUAUACACUUUAUGAACACAAUAUAACAACAUAGAACACAAUGUAACACAUAAUAUUCUUCAUAAUGUAAUUCCGAAGCUUUAACACAUAAUAUUAUCCAAAAAUAUCAUACCCAAGCCUUAACACAUAAUAUCAUAAGAAAUGUAAUUAAUUAACCCACAAUAAAAUAAAAACCAAAUAAGUCAAGAUUAAAGAAACAAUAGAUAUAAGACAAGAUAUCUCACAAAUUCAACAAUGAAAAAAAGAAUAAUAAAUGAAUAAGGGUUUUUUAUGACAGAGAAAACUCACUCAGAGGUAUGACUUUCUGCAACGCUACAUCCACAACUUCAUUUGAAGGAGCUGAUGAAAGAACCGCCAAACGGAAAACCACCUUUAUUAGGAUGCGAUUGGAUAAUACCCCUCAAAGCUUUGACCUUAUUUUCUUGAUCCAAUCUAUCGCGAAAGUGGAGGAGAAGUUAACGAGUAGCACUCUUCAUUCUAUUCUUCAUAGGGGGAGGGGAUUAUCGAUCAUAUCAUAUAGCUUGAAGGUACACAAACUGAAACCAUAACAAUGAGCAUCUUUGAGAAAUUAGGUCAUGUUUGAAACCAUAACCAUAACAAACUGAAACCUACAAUUGUUUACUUAAUUAGUUUCACAAUGUUCUAACAAAAUAGCUAAACCUCUCUCUUAGUACUUAACCCACUUUUUUUUAUCACACGUAAAACUCUUUCAGAUUGAAUAUUUUUUUUUUUGUAGAAGUCAAACUUUUGCAAUAGCUAUUGGCGGAGUGAGUAGAAUUCCCUAGGUAAAAAUUUCCAAAAAUGAUUCAGCUUCUUCUUAACUUCUUUUUUGCGUGUGAGUUGUUCUUAGCCAAAUAUUUUUAGCCAGAAGAUUCAUUAUUGAUCAGUCCCGACCUCGUGAGAUUGAUGUAAAAACACAUUUGAUUUAAUAUUUUGGAUGUUUUCCUUUAUCAUUAGAUACACCGUUGACAAAACAAAACUGGCACAACAAUUUAAUUUUUAUAAACCAUUGUCAAUAAGUAAAGAUUAACAUUAUUAAAAAUACAAGGCUAAUAUAUAGCUAACUUGUACUCAAGAUUAGCUAUCCUUACAACAAGGAUGAAAACUUGUAAAGAUACAUAAAUACACACAACAAGCAAACUAAGCCAAAUUAUUCAUUAACUUUUACGAAAUUCAAACCUACAAUUUAGCACGCAUGAUUAGAACAUCAUCAUUAUGAUCAUCCAUUAGCUUCCAAGUACCAUCAGAUUGUUGAACCAUACCCUUAUUCUCCACUACCCUCCAAUUCUCAGGAAUAUGAUACUCAUCUUUUAAACCAUCAUUACUUUUGUUUAAUAGUGCAAUGUCACGAUUCACCUCCAAAUUGAACCCUCCUUUGCUUCCUUGUGUUCCUGCAAUUCCAUGCAAGUAAACCUCCAUGUUAUGUUCACUAACACCACUCUUCAAGUACUUUGAUUUUUCAGUGUCGAUUUCUAAUUCCUCUCCCACCUUUGAAUAUGCAAGGCGUAGACUACUUGGAACAAUGUCGUUGUUGUUUCGAAUAAACAAUGCUCUCAAAUCAUUGUUGUCGGAGAAAAUCUUUUCAAAGUUAGAAUUUCCAACACGAGGUGAACCAAAUGCAAAUAAUGUGACUGGACAUGUUUUUUGAGGUUGCCCUUUUGGUAUGUUGAAUUUAUUAGCAACUAUAUCCAUAGAGCUUAUAGUUGCAAGUGCACCACCCAAGCUGUGUCCCGUUACAGUUAUGCUAAUUUCUUCAUUCUUAUAUAGCUCCACAAGUCUGCUAAUCUCGUUUAAGACCUUUAUAAUUGCCACAUUACAAAUAUUAAAUAACAUAACUUGCCAAAAUCAAGUACUAUAAAUAUUGAAAAAGAAAAGUGAUGUAUAUUUAGCUUGAGAUUUUUUUUUUUGGGUUAUUUGGAGUAGUUAUUAAUUAUAAAAAUCACCAUCAAAAAAAGUUUAAUUAAAGGCCCAAGUCAUUAGCAUUAAGCUAAGUGCCAUAGGUGUCAAAUUUGUUUUCUUUUACUAUGUAUUUAGGUUAUAGGGGCGAUAUUUUAACCAAAAAAAGUUAUAAUUUUACUUAAGGUAUUAAAUUUCCUAUAUAUUAAAAAAAAAAAAAAAAAAAAAAACCUUAAGGUACAUCACUAAAAAAACAAAAUUUAGCGAGGGAAAAGGUAAAAUCUGUCUUUAAUUCCGUCAUUAAAUUUUGUGACCAAGGAAUUUGUGAAGGAUUUUAUUUUUUCCGUCACUAAUUUUCCUCACUAAUUUUAUCUUUCCUAGUAGUGGUAUUAAAUUUGUCAAAAAUAAAGAAAAGUUUAGGUAUUAAAUUCAAAUCUUUUAUGAGACUGUUGUAAAAUAAUUAUCAAUAUCUCUAUAAUUAACAAAAACUUCAUAAGUAAAUUUAGGUAUAACCUUUUUUUGUGUCAAGUAACCUAUGGAUAAAAAUUCACCUUUUUAUGGUGAAUAAAUGGACUGAUAUUUGAAACCAAACUCCUACAUAUAUUAGGAGGUUUAAUCUAUUUAUCAUGAUAUUAUUAUUCUUGAAAUACUCUUACACAAGUAUUUAAAUAAUGAGACAUGAUUGUACAUAUAUAUGUGUAAGAAUUGAUAUAAUUUUUUUUCUUCAAGAAAAUAGAUAUUUAAAUAAUGAGAUAUUACGAUGUCGAUAUAUAAACUAAAUUUAUAAUUACCUGUUUUCUAGCGCUAGAAUCAGCUAAUGGUAAACUUGAGUUAUCUGAUGUGUAAAGAGAGUAAAAUCCAUUGUGUAACUGCACAUCCGAUUUAGGACCAAAUAUAAGUGGUGCAGGAUCCAAAUCAAUAUUAAAGUUUUGAACCCACUCAGCACCCUGAAUUGUUCCUCUCCAAGCAACAACUAUGUCCCUCCUCCCCAAUGCUUCCUUAGCUGUUAAAAUUAUUUAAGAGUUUAUUAGUAAAAUUUGUAAGUUGGUUAUAAGAUUUACCGUAGUUUAACUAGGAUUAUAUAUAAAAUUUAUUCCUAUACUUAUUAUGCUCAAUUUUUCUCAUUCUAUCAAUUUCAAAUAAUCAAUAUUUAUCUCAAUUUCUUUUUAUAUGCUCUACCAUACUUCUCAAACAUUACCUUCAUCAGUGGCAACAGCAACGUACCCCAUCCAAUUUGUUUCCAAACUCCAAGCAUCCUUUGAAAAUAUUGAAGUUAAGAGAAACGCUGCACUAUCUCUUGCUUUGGAAGUUGCAUACAAAUACUUGGUCACAGAAUACUUGAAAGGAUUACCUUUUUCCAAAUAUACUUUGGAAAAAAAAUCCUUUUUAGAAUAACGACAAUUACCUGCAUACUUAGAUGCCUUUUCAAAGUUGAAACCAUCAUAUGUAGCUUGAGCAAAUUGUCCAUAAUGUAGUAAAUACCUACGUAGGUCAAUGUGUAAAGGUUCCAAUAGACCUUUCCACUUACUUUUCCCACUAAGUUCUCUCCAUGUUCUUGCUAUGCUACCCAUAUCUAUUUCUUCCUCACACAAAUAGACACAAUAUGUGAUAUAACUCAAUAAUUAUAUCAAGCAUGUAUGUCAUGCAUAGGC